rnacentral:lncRNA from 1 species
CCUGCCUAUGUCCGACUGUUGCCUACCUGCAUCCAACUGUUGCCAGCCCAUGUCUGACUGUUGCCCGCCUGCAUCCGACUGUUGCCUGCCCAUGGCCUGCGUCCAGCUGUUGUUGUCCUCCCGCAUCCAGCUGUUGUUGUCCUCCCGCAUCCAGCUGUUGUCCUCCCGCAUCCAGCUGUUGUUGUCCUCCCGCAUCCAGCUGUUGUUGUCCUCCCA